AGUGAACGCUGGCGGUAGGCCUAACACAUGCAAGUCGAACGGCAGCACAGUAAGAGCUUGCUCUUACGGGUGGCGAGUGGCGGACGGGUGAGGAAUACAUCGGAAUCUACUUUUUCGUGGGGGAUAACGUAGGGAAACUUACGCUAAUACCGCAUACGACCUACGGGUGAAAGCAGGGGAUCUUCGGACCUUGCGCGAUUGAAUGAGCCGAUGUCGGAUUAGCUAGUUGGCGGGGUAAAGGCCCACCAAGGCGACGAUCCGUAGCUGGUCUGAGAGGAUGAUCGGCCACACUGGAACUGAGACACGGUCCAGACUCCUACGGGAGGCAGCAGUCGGGAAUAUUGGACAAUGGGCGCAAGCCUGAUCCAGCCAUACCGCGUGGGUUAAGAAGGCCUUCGGGUUGUAAAGCCCUUUUGUGGGGAAAGAAAAGCAGCAGGUUAAUACCCCGCUGUUCUGACGGUACCCAAAGAAUAAGCACCGGCUAACUUCGUG
rnacentral:rRNA from 1 species